CUAGUUACAAAUUCUAAGUUAAAACAUUCUCCUAUGAAUUGUAAGUGCAGAGCAAGAAAAAUAUAAAAACAAGUGAUUGAUCAGUGUUUUGAUUUGUUCCGGAGCCUUCUCUGUCUUUCACUUUAGCUAUUUAUAUGUGCUCUUUCAUUCUCCAACAACUGCUUCCUCAACUGGAUUCACCUCCUCUCCAGCGCUUUACAGUCUAGUUCCCUCCAGCCAUUCCACCAGAUGGAGACGCGUGGCGACAACGAAUCCGACGGGCGAAAAGGGAGCCACGUCUGUGAUGCUCAAGAAACAAACAAAACGACGCCAAGUUCUAUCGUUUUAGCUAGAUGGAGGUAUUGGAUAUAUCGAAGAUUGAUGAUUUAACAAUUGCUACCCAAAUGGAUGUUCAUGGCGAGGAUGAUACACAAUGUAAAUCCAUAUUAGCAACUCCAUAGACGUGGCCUCCUUGGUGUCUUCAGAUCUACUAAACGCCACGCGUCUCCAUCUGGUGGAAUGGCUGGAAGGAACCAGACUGUAAAGCGCUGGAUAGGAGGUGAAUCCGAGGACAACUCCAUGAUCUGCAUCAAUAUAGCUACAUUCGUGCAGCUUUUUCCUCUUUCUACUCCGAAUUUGAAUUCCAAAACUUUAGCUGCUUCUUUAUAAUUGCUUGAAAUUGAAAUAGUUACAGCUUUGCUCUUUAACUUCAAAUAUAACAAAGCUAUGAGUUGUCACGUGACACCUUCUAUGACCUAGUAUUUGCU